GAUGAACGCUAGCGGCAGGCUUAAUACAUGCAAGUCGAACGGUAAAUAUUGAGCAAUCGAUAUGAGAGUGGCGCACGGGUGAGUAACACGUAUGUAACCUACCCUUAACUGGGGAAUAGCUCCGAGAAAUCGGAAUUAAUACCCCAUAACAUCAAGAUUUGGCAUCAUAAAUUGAUUAAAGCUCCGGCGGUUAAGGAUGGACAUGCGGCCCAUUAGCUAGUUGGUGAAGGUAACGGCUCACCAAGGCAUCGAUGGGUAGCUGGUCUGAGAGGAUGAUCAGCCACACUGGCACUGAGACACGGGCCAGACUCCUACGGGAGGCAGCAGUAGGGAAUAUUGGGCAAUGGGCGAAAGCCUGACCCAGCCAUGCCGCGUGCAGGAUUGAAGGUUCUAUGAAUUGUAAACUGCUUUUGUCAGGGACGAAUAAGCUUCUUUCUAGGAGAAUUGACGGUACCUGAAGAAUAAGCACCGGCUAACUACGUGCCAGCAGCCGCAGUAA
rnacentral:rRNA from 1 species